GUAAAACACCUUUCUUGUUCAAUUAUUUCAAAUUUCAAGGCGCGUUUUUUGAAAUGGCACUCAUUCUGCUUUAAAUAUGUAUUUGUAAAUUUUUCUGGGUUUCAAGUUUUGUUGAACGAUAGCUAUGUGAAUUAAUAAAAAGUUACUGCUAUAGUUGGUACAGCGGAGGGAAAUGUUAAAGAAUAUUUUCUGCAAAAAAGUAAGGAGCAAAAAUCUAACAAUCUUUGAAAGUUUGUGUAAUUGUGCGUGACAAAAGAGGGAGGAGGGAGGUUGGUUUUUGCUAAGAGAAGUUAGACGAGAGUUAUGUAUAGAAUUUCAAGAUAACUACACAUAAAUGCGUUGUCAUGGCAAGAACUUCCUUUAUGCUUCAAAACAAUUUCCAUAUUUAAGCAGAUUUUUGGCUUAAAAGGGUCAUUAAAAGAUUUUCUAAAUUUUAACAAGCAAAUUGUAUUGCUAUUGGCUCUUUAUGUUUGUUAAAUGUCGGGAUAAAGAUAUAAAUUAAGGUGUAAAUAAGACUGUAAAUUCAUUUUGAUGUUGGCCAAAAUAUCAAACUGAAUCUCAAUCUA